GGGGAUGCGUGGUCUCGACAGGGUCUGGUUGUCAGCGGACGCGAGCCGAGGUCGCCGUCAGGCCUCGUUAAACAGACGGCAAAACGAAGUACCUGCCAACAAGCAGUCGACUCUCGCCCUCGCGGCUUAGGCCGUAAGGUGAGCGUGGAAGCAGCCUCGGUCCCGCGGGCUGUGGAAGCGUCAUGCAGCGGGGCUGCAGACCGGAUGAGCGUCGCGUAAUCCGGGAUCAAGCCCGAUCUAGGGGCACGUGACUGGACCUCGAGGCAGGGUGCCGAUCCUCGGCCCCGGGGUUGACGAAAAUGAUCGGACACGCUCGUAGUGGACACUGGCGAAGGGUCCUGGACGGGGAGUUCGACUCUCCCCCAUCUCCACCA
rnacentral:tmRNA from 1 species